rnacentral:rRNA from 1 species
GACGAACGCUGGCGGCGUGCUUAACAUAUGCAAGUCGAACGGAAAGGCCCUGCUUUUGUGGGGUGCUCGAGUGGCGAACGGGUGAGUAACACGUGAGUAACCUGCCCUUGACUUUGGGAUAACUUCAGGAAACUGGGGCUAAUACCGGAUAGGAGCUCCUGCUGCAUGGUGGGGGUUGGAAAGUUUCGGCGGUUGGGGAUGGACUCGCGGCUUAUCAGCUUGUUGGUGGGGUAGUGGCCUACCAAGGCUUUGACGGGUAGCCGGCCUGAGAGGGUGACCGGCCACAUUGGGACUGAGAUACGGCCCAGACUCCUACGGGAGGCAGCAGUGGGGAAUAUUGCACAAUGGGCGGAAGCCUGAUGCAGCAACGCCGCGUGCGGGAUGACGGCCUUCGGGUUGUAAACCGCUUUCGCCUGUGACGAAGCGUGAGUGACGGUAAUGGGUAAAGAAGCACCGGCUAACUACGUG